GUUGCAGUUAAAGCUCGUAGUUGAACCUUGGGCCUGGCUGGCCGGUCCGCCUCACCGCGUGCACUGGUUCGGCCGGGCCUUUCCCUCUGGGGAACCUCAUGCCCUUCACUGGGUGUGCUGGGGAACCAGGACUUUUACUGUGAAAAAAUUAGAGUGUUCAAAGCAGGCCUAUGCUCGAAUACAUUAGCAUGGAAUAAUAGAAUAGGACGUGUGGUUCUAUUUUGUUGGUUUCUAGGACCGCCGUAAUGAUUAAUAGGGACAGUCGGGGGCAUCAGUAUUCAAUUGUCAGAGGUGAAAUUCUUGGAUUUAUUGAAGACUAACUACUGCGAAAGCAUUUGCCAAGGAUGUUUUCAUUAAUCAGGAACGAAAGUUAGGGGAUCGAAGACGAUCAGAUACCGUCGUAGUCUUAACCAUAAACUAUGCCGACUAGGGAUCGGACGAUGUUAUUUUUUGACUCGUUCGGCACCUUACGAGAAAUCAAAGUGUUUGGGUUCUGGGGGGAGUAUGGUCGCAAGGCUGAAACUUAAAGAAAUUGACGGAAGGGCACCACCAGGAGUGGAGCCUGCGGCUUAAUUUGACUCAACACGGGGAAACUCACCAGGUCCAGACACAAUGAGGAUUGACAGAUUGAGAGCUCUUUCUUGAUUUUGUGGGUGGUGGUGCAUGGCCGUUCUUAGUUGGUGGAGUGAUUUGUCUGCUUAAUUGCGAUAACGAACGAGACCUUAACCUGCUAAAUAGCCCGUAUUGCUUUGGCAGUACGCUGGCUUCUUAGAGGGACUAUCCGCUCAAGCGGAUGGAAGUUUGAGCAUAACAGGUCUGUGAUGCCCUUAGAUGUCUGGGCCGCACGCGCGUUACACUGA
rnacentral:rRNA from 1 species